UCUACGUAACGCAGCCAGGUGAAUCGAAUGGUCUUUUUAUGCUUGGUGACAUCUAUUUGAAGGUUUACUAAAUUCUGAGAAACGCUUGUCAGGACACAAGACUGAAAAAGACGUACUGAAAAACUGCAUGUAAACACAGCUAUCAUUAAAGUCAAUGGAUUACCUAGGAACAUCCAAGCAAUAUGAUAUCAGAGACUGGCAAUUUUUAUCACUCUAUGUGGCAGAAAAACCUAAAUAAAUAUUGAAAUGUUCAA